GCCGGUGUAGUUCAAUGGGCAGAACAGUUGAAUUCCAUUCAGCAGAUGGAGUGUUCGAAUCCUCCCGCCGGCUCCA
rnacentral:tRNA from 1 species